rnacentral:rRNA from 1 species
AGUUUGAUCCUGGCUCAGGAUGAACGCUGGCGGUAUGCUUAACACAUGCAAGUCGAACGAAGAUAAAAUAGUGCUUGCACAAUUUUAUACUUAGUGGCGGACGGGUGAGUAACACGUAAGAACCUACCUUUUGGCGAGGGACAACCACUGGAAACGGUGGCUAAUACCUCAUAUAACUGAGAAGUGAAAGAUGAACAAUCACCAAAAGACGGGCUUGCGUCUGAUUAGCUAGUUGGUAAGGUAAUGGCUUACCAAGGCGACGAUCAGUAGCUGUUCUGAGAGGAUGAUCAGCCACACUGGGACUGAGACACGGCCCAGACUCCUACGGGAGGCAGCAGUGAGGAAUUUUCCCCAAUGGGCGAAAGCCUGACGGAGCAAUGCCGCGUGAAGGAUGACGGCCUAUGGGUUGUAAACUUCUUUUCUCAGAGAAGAAUUUUGUCGGUAUCUGAGGAAAA